rnacentral:rRNA from 1 species
CCUACGGGCGGCAGCAGUGGGGAAUAUUGGACAAUGGGCGAAAGCCUGAUCCAGCCAUGCCGCGUGUGUGAAGAAGGCCUUCGGGUUGUAAAGCACUUUCAGUGGGGAAGAAAGCCUUGGGGCUAAUACCCUCGAGGAAGGACAUCACCCACAGAAGAAGCACCGGCUAACUCCGUGCCAGCAGCCGCGGUAAUACGGAGGGUGCGAGCGUUAAUCGGAAUUACUGGGCGUAAAGCGUGCGUAGGCGGUCUGAUAAGCCGGUUGUGAAAGCCCCGGGCUCAACCUGGGAACGGCAUCCGGAACUGUCAGGCUAGAGUGCAGGAGAGGAAGGUAGAAUUCCCGGUGUAGCGGUGAAAUGCGUAGAGAUCGGGAGGAAUACCAGUGGCGAAGGCGGCCUUCUGGACUGACACUGACGCUGAGGUGCGAAAGCGUGGGUAGCAAACAGGAUUAGAUACCCGAGUAGUC